CCCCGACAACCCUUUUUUAGAGAAACAAUUAACGUGAAUCGAUUGUUAUUUUGAACAAUGUUUGAUUUUUGAUAAACUCAAAUCUUUAUUUUUAAUUAAUGUUAGUAAUACUGUUUUCUGGUAAUUGUUCAGCAAUUCGCUCAUUAAGUAGCCUAGUUUUUAUGGUUGAUUUGUUUCUUGUACGAUUUGAACCUUAAACCUCUUAAAUUAGUGUACAAAACUAGUGACAUUCAAUUGGACAUUGAUUUCUUCUCACUGGAGAUUAAAGAUUGAUUCAGAAUCAAAUAUCAAACAGCUAUGCUCGUUCUCAUCUUUAAAUUAUUUCUAUGUCACAAUUAACCUCUUACAAGACUUGUUAGAAGAUUCUUUGUUUGAUGUUCUUGCUUAAGGUUACUUGGAAUGCCGAUAUCAAAACUCGAAGAAGGUUUCAUCUUUACUUAUCAAUCUCAUAUUUCAUAGAUAAUUGGUACCGAUUUUCAAACAAAAAUCAAUGUGACUAAAAAAAAUAUGAGAUCUACUACCAGUUGAAUCAAACAACACUUUUAUCUGGUUAUUUCAUCAAUCGAUAUUAAAAAAGCUAGACAAUAUAAGCUAAACCCGGGAAACAGUGGAUGAAAUGAAUA